GAGGAAUAUUGGUCAAUGGACGAGAGUCUGAACCAGCCAAGUAGCGUGAAGGAUGACUGCCCUAUGGGUUGUAAACUUCUUUUAUAUGGGGAAUAAAGUGUUCCACGUGUGGGAUUUUGUAUGUACCAUAUGAAUAAAGAUCGGCUAACUCC
rnacentral:rRNA from 1 species